rnacentral:snRNA from 1 species
GUGCUCUGGUUUGCCUCCAGAUCAUAUAGAUCUUUUGCCUUUCACUAAAGAUUUCCAUGGAAAGGAACAGGCACUAGCUUAGGGAAUUUUUCUGAGGCUCCGCUGUGGUAU